GAAGACCAAGGGUUCCUGUCCAACGUUAAUCGGGGCAGGGUAAGUCGACCCCUAAGGCGAGGCUAAAGCGUAGUCGAUGGGAAACGGGUUAAUAUUCCCGUACUUCUUACAAUUGCGAUGGGGGGACGGAGAAGGCUAGGUGGGCCUGGCGACGGUUGUCCAGGUUCAAGUGCGUAGGCUGAGUGUUUAGGUAAAUCCGGAUACUCUUAAGGCUGAGACACGACGUCGAGCUACUACGGUAGUGAAGUCAUUGAUGCCAUGCUUCCAGGAAAAGCCUCUAAGCUUCAGAUUGUAAGGAAUCGUACCCCAAACCGACACAGGUGGUCGGGUAGAGAAUACCAAGGCGCUUGAGAGAACUCGGGUGAAGGAACUAGGCAAAAUGGUACCGUAACUUCGGGAGAAGGUACGCUCUUGAUGGUGAAGUCCCUUGCGGAUGGAGCUGACGAGAGUCGCAGAUACCAGGUGGCUGCAACUGUUUAUUAAAAACACAGCACUGUGCAAAAUCGUAAGAUGACGUAUACGGUGUGACGCCUGCCCGGUGCCGGAAGGUUAAUUGAUGGGGUUAGCGUAAGCGAAGCUCUUGAUCGAAGCCCCGGUAAACGGCGGCCGUAACUAUAACGGUCCUAAGGUAGCGAAAUUCCUUGUCGGGUAAGUUCCGACCUGCACGAAUGGCGUAAUGAUGGCCACGCUGUCUCCACCCGAGACUCAGUGAAAUUGAAAUCGCUGUGAAGAUGCAGUGUACCCGCGGCUAGACGGAAAGACCCCGUGAACCUUUACUACAGCUUGGCACUGAACAUUGAACCUACAUGUGUAGGAUAGGUGGGAGGCUUUGAAGACGUGACGCCAGUUGCGUUGGAGCCGUCCUUGAAAUACCACCCUUGUAUGUUUGAUGUUCUAACGUUGGCCCCUAAUCGGGGUUGCGGACAGUGCCUGGUGGGUAGUUUGACUGGGGCGGUCUCCUCCCAAAGAGUAACGGAGGAGCACGAAGGUGGGCUAAUCACGGUUGGACAUCGUGAGGUUAGUGCAAUGGCAUAAGCCCGCUUAACUGCGAGAAUGACGGUUCGAGCAGGUGCGAAAGCAGGUCAUAGUGAUCCGGUGGUUCUGAAUGGAAGGGCCAUCGCUCAACGGAUAAAAGGUACUCCGGGGAUAACAGGCUGAUACCGCCCAAGAGUUCAUAUCGACGGCGGUGUUUGGCACCUCGAUGUCGGCUCAUCACAUCCUGGGGCUGAAGUCGGUCCCAAGGGUAUGGCUGUUCGCCAUUUAAAGUGGUACGCGAGCUGGGUUUAGAACGUCGUGAGACAGUUCGGUCCCUAUCUGCCGUGGGCGUUGGAAGAUUGAAGGGGGCUGCUCCUAGUACGAGAGGACCGGAGUGGACGAACCUCUGGUGUUCGGGUUGUGUCGCCAGACGCAUUGCCCGGUAGCUAAGUUCGGAAUCGAUAACCGCUGAAAGCAUCUAAGCGGGAAGCGAGCCCUGAGAUGAGUCUUCCCUGAUACUUUAAGUAUCCUGAAGGGUUGU
rnacentral:rRNA from 1 species